CUCCAUCUCAUUUGCUUCGCUCAAGACCUCAAACAACAAAAGGCAGAUCUAAAGAUUUCAGUUUGUGUUGAAUCUUUCUCUCUCUUCUCUCUCACUGAAAGAUACCUAAAAGCCUCCUCCUUUGUCUCUCAUUCAUAAGGUUUUUGGGCCUUUAGAUAAUGAUUUGUUUGAAGAUGAGCAAAGAAAAUACUUGGUUCAUUAUCAUUCAUCAUUAUUCAUAUAUAUUAAUAAUAAUAUAAGGAGUGGGUUGUAUAGUUGGUGGUUUGAUAAAAAAACACUUGUUUCUCUACUAGAAAGAUGGAGAAACCAGUAUGGACACAACACAAACAAGAAUUCUUUCUUCACUGAAGGGCCAACCCACGUUCUUUAAUCCUUCAAAAUUUCCAACUUUGUUUUCUUUUCUUUUAUUUUUUCCUUAAACAAAUGUAAUCUUUGUUAUUUUGUUAUAUUUGUUUGCAGCUUAUUGGUUUAUGAACUG